GUACCUUUUAAAUUCUCAAAAUGAAAAUAUUACUUAGUGGUCUACAGACGUUAGUAAAUAUAUUUCAUAAUGGAAAAUCGAACUUUCUGAAAGAUGUUUGUAUACAAAAAUAAGGAGAUGUUGUAUGAUUGCCCAUAUAAGCUCAAAUGAAGUGGAUGUAAGUAGUGAUAGGCAUCUGUAAUGCCUUCAACAAUGAGAAAUACCCAUACCGUAUAAUCCGCUAUAAUUUUCCCCG
rnacentral:lncRNA from 1 species